UGAAAUAUUAGUUCUGGUUGCUAGUGCAGAUCUGGACUCGGAUCAAGGGUGUCGAGAGGGUCCUGGGUCCUGUUCCUUUGCCUUUCAAAAAGACUUUUUACGGAUUGAGAAUUUUUAAAUACCACUAGGGGAAAGGUGAAGGUUCUUUGCAGCCUUCAGUGUUGAAAUGGACGAAGGUAAGGAAGGCAAAUCAUUUUAAGACGAAAUCUCCGAUUUUUUAAAAAAGGAGGAAAAAAGCAGGGUGGCUAAGGAUAAAGAAAGAGGACUUGAGAAAAUGUGGAGAAUGAAAAACAGGAGAGCAGCGAGCAAAAGCAAAGAUCCAGAGUUCAAAGAGACUGGCAGAAGGAAAUAGCUGCGGGCUGAGUGCUGAAGAGGGGAGGGACUGACGGCUGCCGGCCGGUAGGAGCGCGGAGCUGCGCUGCGGCGGCCCAGGAGCUGCUGCGGUUCCCGCUGCUCGGGGAGCAGGCGGUGUGUGCGCGGCUGCGAAGUCGAGGUUGAAACUGCACCGCCAAGGCGCGCUCCUGCUGUGUCUGGAGCUCCGGCGUCUCCUCUGCCUCCCAGCUCAGCGCCUCCCACCCUCCUUCCCUCCUCCUCUUCCCAGCUCCCCCGCCCUCUGCUGCUCGCAGCCUCGCCAGUGAGAAUCUACUGUAAGUGUGAGUUGCUUCGACGAAGUCACACACCCACGGAGGGAAGUAAUCUGGAGGCUGCCUUGGAGUCUGAAAGCAGGUUCUUUUUAUUAUAAUGUGCUCCGAAUGGAUGAAGCAAAUUUAGAGGAAGAGCAGUGAAUCAGUUUCUCAGUUUGGCAAAAAGCCUCACGGGCAUGUACAGGAAGCCUUCCUGCAGACAUCCACAGUGAACAAGUCUAAGGACAAUAGCUUUCGUUGGCCCCCAAUAGAAGGCAUUUUUAGUGAUGUGUGGCCUCACCACUUAAAUCCAGUUUAUUGAAUCUGAAGUGAUUUGCUCCUCUUUCUGGACUACACAAUAAACACCCUCCAACGUCCCCAGCCAUGCUCUUCCCAUCAUUUGGCUGAAAGGGGAGGAAUUCAAGGCCUUAGAGUGGGGAAGCUACAAUUUGGAAGAAUCCUGGAAGCACAGAUUACCCUGUGAAGCAGCAUCCCCAUGAGGGUCUCUUUCUUCUGUGAUAUAAGCAAGAAAUAAAUGAAUUGUGCAAAUCCAGAAGUCUCAAGGUGACAAUAGUCCUCAGGCAGACAAGAAGGAAUAAGGGUUUGAGAUGAAUGGCUACAGCUGAGAGUAUGCU
rnacentral:lncRNA from 1 species